GACGAACGCUGGCGGCGUGCUUAACACAUGCAAGUCGAACGAAGAGCGACGGAAGCUUGCUUCUAUCAAUCUUAGUGGCGAACGGGUGAGUAACGCGUAAUCAACCUGCCCUUCAGAGGGGGACAACAGUUGGAAACGACUGCUAAUACCGCAUACGAUUUAAUCUCGGCAUCGAGGAUAGAUGAAAGGUGGCCUCUACAUGUAAGCUAUCACUGAAGGAGGGGAUUGCGUCUGAUUAGCUAGUUGGAGGGGUAACGGCCCACCAAGGCGAUGAUCAGUAGCCGGUCUGAGAGGAUGAACGGCCACAUUGGGACUGAGACACGGCCCAGACUCCUACGGGAGGCAGCAGUGGGGAAUCUUCCGCAAUGGACGAAAGUCUGACGGAGCAACGCCGCGUGAGUGAUGACGGCCUUCGGGUUGUAAAGCUCUGUUAAUCGGGACGAAAGGCCUUCUUGCGAAUAGUGAGAAGGAUUGACG
rnacentral:rRNA from 1 species